rnacentral:sRNA from 1 species
GUUGGGCGUGGUGGUGCAUGCCUGUAAUCCCAGCAGCUCAGGAGGCUGAGGCAGGAGGAUCUGGAGUUCAAAGCCAGCCUCAGCAACUUAGCAAGGCCCUAAGCAACUCAGUGAGACCCUGUCUCUA